UGGACAAGGAUAACUCCCAUGUGGUUGAACUCCUCGCAAAGUUGUAUCUUUGAAGAAGAAGUUUGUGAAUUAAGAGAACGAGUAUAUACAAAAGUCGGAUGCCCUAAAGAAACACUUGCCUUCACCAAAUACUUCCCAAUAUAACCAGUUCCUCCGAAUAUAACAAUCUUACUCUUCAUUUCCUCCAUUGUUAACAAAUGUUGCAAAUGCUUACAAUGUGAAAUCCUUCACCACACACCCUCUUUUGUAACUUCUUUCCAACUUCAAAAGCUUCCAAAAUACAUGUAAUUUUCCUGCUGUAAAGCUUCCCACUUUCAAUUUAUAUUUGGACAAAUUUCAAUUUAAAUUCAUUUCUAAAAAGUUUUCAAAAUUUUAAUAACAAGGGGACUUAAAUUAAAACUUUAAAUUUGUACCUUCUGGACUUUGUGGGCACCCAUUGGAUUUGUGUGAAUAAAUUGUUUUUUUAUGUAUAUGAUUAGAAUUUAACUUUUUAUUAUUUUGAAUAAAUGAAAAUAUAUAUUAAUGUUUCAUUUAGGAUUAUUACUUUGCAGUAGUAAUCAGUUAAUUCCCCCUUUUUCUAACAUAUUUAAGGUUAAGGUUUUUCUUUUCCCUUUCAGGAUGUAAUACAGAAAAAUAACACCAUUACAGAAUUACAAAAGCUUAAGUCUUUCUCUUACCUAUGUUGAAAACGCUUUGCUCCGAUCAUCUUUUCUCCUUCUUCCUGAAGCUUUGAACGCACAUCACCAAGAGCACCGUGCUUCUUCUCUCCGCGUUUCAGAAGUCUCUGCGUUUCAUCUCUCUUGUCUGACGCAAACUGCUAUAAGGCAGUGUUAUAUCAGAAAUAUUUUUUAUCUCUGCUUUUGUUUCGGCCUUGGUUUAUUGGUU
rnacentral:lncRNA from 1 species